AAGUGUCUAUCACGUAUAAAAUCACUCUUUAGGUGAAUGCUUCUAAAUUCGAUGUAGCCAUUGUCUGGCUGAUAUCAGACGCUUCAUUUCAUACAAACUAAACCCAGCAUCGGCCAUUUAAAGAUUGCUGAUUCGUACGCCCUUGAAGAAAGAUGGUAAAGACAGCCUUGAUUAGUUUAUCGCUUUUGAUUGGUCUAAGUGUUCGUUCAACUAGCGGUGAGUGUGAACAUUAUGAGCAGUGGUUCUCCAACUUCUUGUUGAUUUUUGCCGGGCAUUACGGCAAUUCAACGUUAACCACUGAAAGUGGGACUGUGAUACCGUUCGACUACAACGCUAGCAUAACACCUUAUAAAACAGAAUUGAACGGAAACACUGACCUGAUGUUCUAUUUCGAUGAAUGGGAAGGUGGUCGGCAGGUACGGAAAUCUCUGCUUGGUGUUGCGCUAAACAGUGGUCGAAUAUUCGUAAAGGCUCACAACUUUACAUCGGGAGUCAGGAU